rnacentral:lncRNA from 1 species
AGACGGAAGUGGAGCGAGGACAAAAUGGCUGCGAAGGUGUACCGGCCCUCAUCACUGGGCUUCAGAGGUUCAAUCUGCAAGGAGGCAUCUCCUGCCAGGAAAUUGGAAGCAAAGGCCACUCGGCCCUUCUGUUCCUCAGUCAAGUUAUUGUAGACAUGACGACUGGAGUAAGUGAUCACCUGUGGGAUAGACCGAGGCAGAGUCAAGCAGCGUAACUCUCAGCCUGCCUUUCCUGAUGGUGUGAAGAAGAGGAAAGGGAGUACUCCCAGUGGCACAAAGUAGUCAAGCCUGGGGCUGAGAGUCCAAGAGACCUCUGUUCUAAAUAAAAGUUAAAAAUACAGUACAUUUGCACCUAGGCCUUGCCUCUCCUUCCAAAAAUAAUAACACUUCAUGUUUGUGUAGCAUUUUAGUUAUAAAGUAUUAUAUUAAAUGCUCAGAACCACUCCAUCUUACAGGUAAGGAAUUUGAAGUUUGACUUACAUACUGAAGUUCACACAGCUAAGUCAAGGAAAGGAGGAAACCAUGCAAGUGUACAGCUAUGCAUGUAUUAAGCAUAGACUUAUGAAAGGAAAAGAAACCUCGGGACCCCUCGGGAAGCCAAAGGGAAGGUCGAGCUUGGAACGAUGUCGGCAAACCUGCCUCCCAUUCUUUUUUUUUUUUUUUUUUAAGUAUUUGAGAGACUUCUAUGAGACAGGACUGUUUCCUUGGUUUUAUUUAUUUAUUUAUUUAUUUUUGAGACAGUCUCGCUCCGUCACCCAGGCUGAAGUGCAGUGGCACAAUCUUGGCUCACUGUAACCUCCGCUUCCUGGGUUCAAGCAGUUCUCCUGCCUCAGCCUCCUGAGUAGCUGGGAUUACAGGUGUACACCACCAUGCCCGGCUAACUUUUGUAUUAUUGGUAGAGACAGGGUUUCGCCAUGUUGGCCAGGCUGGUCUUGAACUCUUGGCCUCAGGUGAUCCACCCUCCUUGGCCUCCCAAAGUGCUGGGAUUACAGACAUGAGCCACCACGCCUGGCCUGCCUUCCAUUCUAUUCCUGAAUAAGAAAUAAGAUAGCUACAAAGAUAAAAAAAAAAAAAAAAAAAAAGCUUACAGUACUCCUGCACAAUUUGCCCACAAGGUGACUGCUUGUGGACAAAGGACAGACAGAACUCAC